GCUCCUCCGGCCCCACUCAGCCACGCACAAAAUACCGGCCACAGACAGGAGGAUGGGGAAACACACCAAGGCGGGGAACACCCCCAGACCACCGGGGACCCGCCAGGUGAGCCAAAACCCCUCCAUGCGGCAGUACUUGUCCGCGACGCCGGACCCGUUUUCCCAGGCGUCAUCUGAGGCCUACCCGCCAUCUGAGGCCUCCACGCCACACUCCCUCUCCCCAGCCCGAGAGGACACAGGGGAAACCCCCCCUGCAGACUGGAUGGCCCUGCUAAGG